GUACUUGCUUGGACAGCACACAUACUAAAAUUGGAGUGAUACAGAGAAGAUUAACUUGACCCCUGUGCAAGGAUGGCAUGCAAAUUUGUGAAUCAUUCCAUAUUAAA
ensembl:snRNA U6 U6 spliceosomal RNA